rnacentral:lncRNA from 1 species
AAAUGGACGGAUAGUGCCAAGUACAGAAAUUCUACACUCACACUUGCACCACGUCAGCAAUAACAAGUUAAUUAUAUAUAUUUUUUUUCAAACAAAAGUAUAAUAAAAAUAUUUUUUGAUAAUUAUGAUAGGACAUAUACUCCUAAAAGAAGAUAUUUGAUUGGUUUGUUACGCCACGUCACCAAUAUAUCCGUUGCACGCCACGUCACCAAUAUACCCGUUGCAUUCUAGAAUUUUUUUGCAA